rnacentral:rRNA from 1 species
AUUGAACGCUGGCGGCAUGCUUUACACAUGCAAGUCGAACGGUAACAGGCCGCAAGGUGCUGACGAGUGGCGAACGGGUGAGUAACGCAUCGGAACGUGCCCAGUCGUGGGGGAUAACGCAGCGAAAGCUGCGCUAAUACCGCAUACGAUCUCUGGAUGAAAGCGGGGGACCGAAAGGCCUCGCGCGAUUGGAGCGGCCGAUGUCAGAUUAGGUAGUUGGUGGGGUAAAGGCUCACCAAGCCAACGAUCUGUAGCUGGUCUGAGAGGACGACCAGCCACACUGGGACUGAGACACGGCCCAGACUCCUACGGGAGGCAGCAGUGGGGAAUUUUGGACAAUGGGCGCAAGCCUGAUCCAGCAAUGCCGCGUGCAGGAAGAAGGCCUUCGGGUUGUAAACUGCUUUUGUACGGAACGAAACGGUCCUGGUUAAUACCUGGGGCUAAUGACGGUACCGUAAGAAUAAGCACCGGCUAACUACGUGCCAGCCGCCGCCGUAAUAC